rnacentral:rRNA from 1 species
GGGUUGUGAGGUUAAGCGACUAAGCGUACACGGUGGAUGCCCUGGCAGUCAGAGGCGAUGAAGGGCGUGCUAAUCUGCGAUAAGCGCCGGUAAGGUGAUAUGAACCGUUAUAACCGGCGAUUUCCGAAUGGGGAAACCCAGUGUGAUUCGUCACACUAUCAUUAACUGAAUCCAUAGGUUAAUGAAGCGAACCGGGGGAACUGAAACAUCUAAGUACCCCGAGGAAAAGAAAUCAACCGAGAUUCCCCCAGUAGCGGCGAGCGAACGGGGAGGAGCCCAGAGCCUGAAUCAGCAUGUGUGUUAGUGGAAGCGUCUGGAAAGGCGCGCGAUACAGGGUGACAGCCCCGUACACAAAAGCGCAUGUGUUGUGAGCUCGAUGAGUAGGGCGGGACACGUGGUAUCCUGUCUGAAUAUGGGGGGACCAUCCUCCAAGGCUAAAUACUCCUGACUGACCGAUAGUGAACCAGUACCGUGAGGGAAAGGCGAAAAGAACCCCGGCGAGGGGAGUGAAAAAGAACCUGAAACCGUGUACGUACAAGCAGUGGGAGCACCCUUUGGGGUGUGACUGCGUACCUUUUGUAUAAUGGGUCAGCGACUUAUAUUCUGUAGCAAGGUUAACCGAAUAGGGGAGCCGGAGGGAAACCGAGUCUUAAUUGGGCGUUAAGUUGCAGGGUAUAGACCCGAAACCCGGUGAUCUAGCCAUGGGCAGGUUGAAGGUUGGGUAACACUAACUGGAGGACCGAACCGACUAAUGUUGAAAAAUUAGCGGAUGACCUGUGGCUGGGGGUGAAAGGCCAAUCAAACCGGGAGAUAGCUGGUUCUCCCCGAAAGCUAUUUAGGUAGCGCCUCGUGAACUCAUCUCCGGGGGUAGAGCACUGUUUCGGCUAGGGGGCCAUCCCGGCUUACCAACCCGAUGCAAACUGCGAAUACCGGAGAAUGUUAUCACGGGAGACACACGGCGGGUGCUAACGUCCGUCGUGAAGAGGGAAACAACCCAGACCGCCAGCUAAGGUCCCAAAGUCAUAGUUAAGUGGGAAACGAUGUGGGAAGGCCCAGACAGCCAGGAUGUUGGCUUAGAAGCAGCCAUCAUUUAAAGAAAGCGUAAUAGCUCACUGGUCGAGUCGGCCUGCGCGGAAGAUGUAACGGGGCUAAACUAUGCACCGAAGCUGCGGCAGCGACACU